UACGUUAAUGAAGAGCUUGGGGCAUGAACCAGAGCCCAUUGUAGUCAAUGGGAGUCUUUUUCCAUUGACUUCAGUGGGGUUUGAAUCAGGCCUUUACUUCCUAAAAUGAAUAGA
rnacentral:pre_miRNA from 10 species